rnacentral:tRNA from 1 species
GCCCAGCUGGCUUAGUCAGUAGAGCGUAUGACUCUUGAACUUGGGGCUGUGGGUUCGAGCCCCCUGUUGAGUG